rnacentral:piRNA from 1 species
CUGGACUCUGACCUCAUAGGUAGCAAUGAA